rnacentral:lncRNA from 1 species
UACAGGUCUCCAACUCAGGCAAAUACAGUCUCUGCAAAGUGGAACUCAAAAUAUUAACGAGUCACUGCAAGAAAGAAUACAGUGUAAAGGAAAUUUGGAUGGGACUGCAAGUAAAAUCAAUGAAGUCUAUCCAAAUGUAGAUCCUGGAGGAAUACAAUCUGUGUCUCUUACAUCAAGAAAGACUUAGUACUCUCCAAGAAUACCAUUUUGUACCAAGUUCAAACUGGAGGAUCACAAGUCUUUACAUGUGACUUAGGAAACAGGAAGAAGCAACCAAACCAAUCUAAGUGAGGCUUCAUUAAGG